rnacentral:lncRNA from 1 species
AUUCUAGGUUCAUCUGUGAUCAAAUCCACUCCUGGGUCAAGAACAAAGAGAAAUUCCUAGAUAUAUAUAUAGAAAUAUAAGCAGUAUCUGUAGUAUCCAAAAACUGGUAUCAACAUAAAUGUCUAUUAACAGUAAAACUGAAAUAUAAAUUGUGGAGUAAUCUUACAAAGGAAUAUUUCCUAGCAAUAAAAGUGAAUUUUCACCACACAUAGUGAGGAGGAAGAUCAACCACAUAAUUAAGUAGUAAAAAAAAAAAAAGGCACAAAAGAUUACAUGCUGUAUAAUUCAGUUUAUAUAUACCUUUAAAAACAGGUAAAACCAUUCUAUGGGGAAAAGAGUCAUCUGGGUCAAGGAAGGACAGAAAAGGAGCAUGAGGGAGACAACUUUCUUCACUUUCACCUGGGUGGUGGUUAGUUGGGCAACCACCCUGGGAAAGUUCUCCAAGCUGUACUCUUAGGAUGUGCACGCCUUUCUGUUUGCAUGUGAUAUUUCGAUUUAAUAUUGUCACUCAAAACAUUAAGCAUACAUCAGAAUUUUUCUAGGACUACGUCCUGGAGUCAUGAAUUCAUCCUAGCAGGAGUAAUCAGAAUAAUCAGAUUCUAGUAAUGACUUUUCUACCAACUAGCCAUGGGAUCUUUAACAUAAUUUAACCUCCCAGAGAUAAUUCUAAUAGCCAAUAAAUCUCAGAGAUCUUCUGGAGAUUUCUUGUUUUUGAAAGACUUCAAGUCAUAUUUAUUCAUUUAACAAAUAUUCAGGUGAGCUUACUACACAUAGAGCACUGUUGUAGCACUUGUCAUUUUUACUGUAGUGGAAAUAGAAAGUAUGUAGCAAAUAUAAUGAAGAAGAAAGGCAGGAAGGAAGGAAGAAAGGGAGGGGGAAGGGAAGGGGGAACUGCAAUCAACAAUUUGAAAAGUUACAGACAUGGAUAUAUACAUACCAAAUGAAACUCUCAAUCCAGUGUGAUCAUAUAUGACCACACAUAAACACAGAAGGGAACCUAGCUUUAAAUAACUAUUUCAUCAGGCUGUGAAGUAAAGCCUGUCCCAGGAUUAACACUCCUGCAUAAAUCUUCCAUGAGUAAGUCUUGAUAACAUGAAAUAUUUAAGCAUUUCCUUGAAACCACAGAGGACAGAGCUGGAACCAAAGAGGCAGAUUUUUCAGAGAAAGAGAUUAGGACAAUAUUUAAGAAGGACCUUUAAGUAACCAAAACAUUUUAAAAGGCAGUGUUAAAAGAGAAACUUGAAAUAAUUUGUAUCUGGAGGGAGGUUAGUGUGAUCUAUAGGACUCUUCUAGGAUUUAAUCCUAACAAUAGGACUCAUUAAUUAGGAGUUUUUAAAACAUAUUAAAAUAUGGCAUAUUUUAAAUGUUUAUUGUAUAUAUACUAUAGUAAAAAUAAAAGCCAUACGCAACAUUACAUUCAUAAUAAACUGACAUUUAAAUUACUCUAUUAUCUUACAAGUCUUAAAAGGCUAUUAUAAUUACAUAUAUAGUAUAAUUAUAACAGAAAUAAAACUUUAUAUUCCUUUUUCACUGAAAGAUUAUCUUUAAGUAUUUUAAUAUGUUAAUUUUUAUUGUAAUUCUAGCUAGAUUAAUAAUGUUUAUAUCAGUAAAUAUAUCCUUUUCAAAUAUAAAAAGUAUAAGAAUUUCUAAAAAGCAACGUGAUUUUUUAAAAUCUACUUUAACAUCCUUCUAGUACAAAAGUGCAAACUGAAAAAAUACUUAUGAAUGUAUAUGUGACAAUCAAAUUGCCUAAAAAUCCAAAUAACAGAAUAAAAUAGCAGUCAAACUCACUGAAGCCCUGUUUAUGCCACUCCCUAGAGGCUUCAAAUUAUCUUUCAUCAGUUCAACCCAACCAAGCUGCAAAUCCUCGCAACUGCCUAUUAUGCACACUAGACAUCUGUAGAAUAUUACCAACAAAUAUUUAUUGAGUGGUUGUACUCCUUUCUAAUCCAUUCUCCACAGUACAGUUACAACGGUCUUUCUAAAAUGGUAAUUUGUCAAGUCAUGCCCCUUCUAAAAGUCAUAAAUGGUUUCCCUUCUAACACAGAAAUCAUAUCAAAGUUUCUCAAAAGGACUUUUGAGGCAGCACCCCCUAGUUAUGUGUGCAGUCUUACCUCUCCCCACUCUGUCUGAAUUGAGUGUUUCAACCACAUGGCUCCACUUAAAGGUUCUCUGAGCUCUGUGGAUUCCCAGCCCUAAAUACGAGGUGUCACUUCUCCCUAGAAUACUAUUCCCUGAUCUUUCAUCCUAACUUCUACUCAGCCUCCAAGACCGACCUGAAAGAAGGAAUGAGCUGCACCAAGACCUUCCUGGCUCCCCACAUACCCAGAGCUUCACCCCUAGAAUAAACUCUCACUGGCUUAUACCACUUAAUGGCCUACCGUCCCCACCUUCAGCAAGACAGGGACCAUUUCUCUGUGUCACUACUCUGUACCCGAUGACACCUAGAAAGUUUAUUAUCUGUGGAUGAGUGAAUGAUAUAAAUGCCCUCCCUGGAUAUAAACAAUAUGAAUGCUGGGUUCAUGGGACACAGCAGAGAAUAAAAAUAUAUUUCCCACACAAAUAAUUCCAUAGUCUGGGCAUUUGCUUAAAUUUGAAAAAGCAGAGAAGAGAAGUAGGUGACCGUGGAGAAAUUCCUUAAGCACUUCAAGCUUUGUCUUCCUCUUCUGUAAAGUGGGGGGCCCUCACCAUUUCAUCACAGGAUGCAACGAUCUACUCACGGACCAAACCAGCAAACCUGCCAUCAUCUGUAUUUCCUCUCUCCCCCUCUACUAUUACACCCCAUCUAACCAAAAAGCCUGUGUGUCUACCUCCAGAGAGGGAUUUUAAUCUGCCCACUUCUCUCCAUUUUUCUCUAUCCCCGCAGUAACCCAGGUUCUCUGUUAGACUUUCAGGUUAAUUUUUCCCAUCCUUGCCUUAUCCAAUUUAUUUAUCACAGAGCUGUCAGAAAAACUAUAAACUGAACAGUCACUCUACUUGAAAUCUCCCUCAAAGAUGUCCUACUGCCCUGUUAAAUGAUGUGGCCCCUAACGAUCUCCCCAGACUCAUCUCAGCCACCCAUGCCCUCACAAAGUUCCAGCCAUGCUGGCCUCCUUCCAGAUCCUGCAACAUAUCAAGCUUUUUCCUGCCUCAGAACCUUUGCAUGUGCUGUUCUCUCUGCGUAGCACUCUCUCCUCUUCACUUUUUAUAGGGUCAGUUCCUGAACGUCCUUCAGCUUCAAUGUCAUUUCUCUUCGGAGAGACUUUUCCCUGAACACCAUAUGUAAAUGGUUCCCCCAGCCCACAGUCCCAGUAUUCUCUAUUACCACACUUUCCUUCGUCGCAGCAAAUUCUCAAAGUGGUGAGCCAUGCCUCCGUACACAGCAACAGACUGAAAACAUUUCAGGAAGGAAGAUGAAAAGAAGGGAAGCUGUAUAUGGGCAGAGGAUGUGCAGUCUAUUUUGAUGUGAACAGUGCUUCCCAGUUUUCUCUAAAUUUCACCUUCAACAGUCUGACAUCCAUCACCGAGUUGAAUAAAUGCCUUCUGUUCUGAAGAUUAUCGUUAAUGCAUAAGCUACCUGAGAUAAGGCACGGAUUGAUAUAAUUGAGUCAAUAAAAGUAGAGAAUUGUUACCCCAGAAGGGAUGAAAUAGGAUCAUGGGGAAAUAGAAAAUAAAAUACUUGACAGCUUUGAUAAAAGAAAUAAAUUCAGAAAGUUCUAAAACUGAAGUGCCACCUAAGGGUGGUGAUAUCAGGAGGAAGACACAUGAUAAGGCUUGGGAGGGGGAAGAAAUGAAGCAAAACAACAUCUGAGUCCCUGAAACACAUGACUAAACAGGAGAAAAACUGAUGAGGACAGAAGUAGUAGCAAAGAUUAACCUUGAUUAUUUCACAUUUCACAUAUGGUGUUUCCUGGAAUUUUCCCUGCACAGAAAUAUUAAGCAUGAGAAUUGGCAAUUUCAUAUAGAAUCGCCUAGAAUGUAAUCCAAAUUUUAUGAGUCAAUCAAUUCCCUUCUAACUCCUAGGCAAGUCUAAUAUUGCUGAAUGUGUAAUAUUACUAAUUUGAGAUUGGGUGAAAGUGCCAUGUACCUACACUCACAGCCAAAUGGUUCAGUUGUGCUUCAUGAGAGCUGGAUGCACUCGGGUUCAUUUUAUGUUGGUCACCUGAGGUACAAUUUGCUCCCCACCACUCUGCAAUAAGCAGCUGUUUGCAAUAAGCCUCACGUUGCAGACAAGCAUUAGAACACCUCCUGGGGUUUACAGGAUGUUGAUUCCUAAAGGCCAGAUUUAACACUUUGGGGAAAUAUAAAAGCCAGUAAGCCACUACAGAAGGAAAAAUAACGCAUGGUAUUUGAUCAUUUGAGGAAUGCAACUUAUUGCAGGGAUUGGUUACCACAGAAACUAUGAUCUGUAAAUGGCCAGGUGGGAGAUGCUGAAAAAUAAUACGUUGUACAAAAACUGAGUUGACUCGCGGAACAACACAGAUCAGUGGCACCAUGGGGAUUACCUGGUGGUGGUUCUGGCUAAUGGUUUACAGGUCUGAAUCUCUAGUCAAAGCACUAAUGUCCCAUCUGACCACUCUGGCCUCCAUCACAACAACUGCUAUCUCCGACAGAUUGUUUUAACACAUCUCUGUCACAGAAUUCUUUACUUAAGUGAAAAUAAAAUAAAAUAAGCUAGUUAAUGUAUUCCCAUUAGGUAGGUUAUACUCCCUAGAACCAAGAAAAUAAGUCAAAUUCACUUUCGACAUUCCUACAAAGAUCUGGAAAAAGCUAUGUGUACUUUCAUGCCUUAUUUUUCCUGUCUUCAGAUUAGACGGCGUUAGCUUAUUCAACUGUAACCUUGAUUGUAGGGCAUGGUGUUAAGUCACUUUAACUACCUAACUACUAUCAUCUAAAUAUGUUAUUGCUAUAUUUCAACCAUCAAAGCCAACUGUACUAACCUUAUAUUAAGACAACAUAUGCUCUAAGUGUGUUGUAUGUCAUUUCACCAAAUCCUAAUAAGGAUGGGCUUAUAAUUACUAUCUUACAAUGAAGAUAUUGAGGGUUACAGAAAUAGAAAUCCUUGCUAGAGGCAGAAAUAGAAAUCCUUGCUAGAGGCUAUAUCGUUAGUGACAAGUACAGGAAUUGAACACACAUCUGACUCCAAAGCCUAGCCCCUGUUCUGGACUAUUUCAGGCAACACCUGAGCAGAGUGGAGGGGAGAUGGGGGAACAGAAGCUUCUGAACAUUUGUCAAAUCCUAAUUAUGUCAUUUAAUAUAUAAACUCACUUGAGCUGCUCAUGUGAUCAAUGUCAACAACCACAUUUUUCUCCAAGUAACUGAAAAGAAAGGCUAAACCAAGCAAGGUUCAAGAUGAGCCGUCAAAUGCUUAGGAAGAGGUCUGAAUGUACCUCAGUUAAAAGGCCAUUUGGUAUUUUAAGAGAUAGAAUUAUACAUUUACUAAAGUAACUUUAAACAUUUACUCUAAGGGUUGAUAAAUGGAUGGAUGGAAAGAAAGCCACACUGGAGACUGAGGAAUAAGGUGAUGCUCCCAACAGUCCAAAUGACUCCUGCACAAGAGUCUGAACUAGAUAAGUCACAUGGGGAUGGAACAAAGUGCAAGGGUUCAAGAGAUUUAAAAAGCAGACUUGACAGCACUCAGUGAUGGUUAAAAUUAUGAGCUGUGGUAUACUACUGGUUUAAGAAUGUGAGCUCUGAUCUGACUAGGGUAUGAAUUGCAGCUCCAUGAUGUAAUUUGUGUGAUUGAUGCUGUACUUCGGUGUCUACAACUCUAAAACAGGGAUAAGAGCACCUAAGUCAUGGAGAUGGUGGCAACAUUUACUGUGAUAAUAAAUGUAGAAGGUUUAGAAAGGCCCCACAUCACAUAAAAUACUCACUACAAGUUACCAUGACAAUGACAAGGAAGAGAAGGAAGAAGAGAGGGUCAGAAAGUAGUCUAGGGUGACUCCAGGUCUCUGCUUAGGUAACUGGAUGAACUCAGAGAUGGAACACAGGCAAGUCAGGCUCAAGCAAGAAGAUCUGGAGUUUAGUUUCAAAGAUAACGAACCUGAAAUUAUUUGAGGGCUAGCCAGGUAACAAUGGAUGGACAAAUAUAAAAUUAAAUGCCAGGGUGUAGUCUACCCUUUUAAAGAAAUUUGGCUAUGAAAGUAGAAAGAUAUAAAAGCCAGGGGAGGAAGGUGACUUAUUUUGAUGGAUGACACAAGCCUUUAGAGUUUGAAAGAGAAGAGCCUGGAAACAAGGAGGGACUAAGGUACAAAAGAUUAAUGGGUUAACCUGGUUUCAGAGCAAUAGGAGAGAAAUGGGUCCAAGCACAAGAACAAGUGUCAAAUGGAAACAAGAGAUCCUCUUUCUUCCAGAAAAGCAGGCAACAGGGAAAAGUAUAGAUUCAGAGUAAGACUGGAAACUAUAAAACUCCUAGAAAGAAACAUAGGCAGAACAUUCUUUGACAUAAAUCAUAGCAGUAUUUUUUUGAAAUGUGUCUCCUCAGGCAAAGGAUACAAAAACAAAAAAUUUAAAAUAGGACCUAAUUAAACAUAAAAGCUUUAAAAAAAAUUGCAAGGCAAACCAUCAACAAAACACAAAGACAAACUACAGAAUGGGAGAAAAUGUUUGUAAAUGACAUAACUGAUAACAGAUUAAUAUUCAAAAUAUAUAAACAGCUCAUGUAACUCAAUAUAAAAAAAAAAAACCUGAUUAAAAAAUGGGCAGAAGACCUGAACAGACAUUUUUCAAAAGAGGAAAUACAGAUGGACAACAGGCGCAUGAAAAGAUGCUCAACAUCCCUAGUCAGGGAAAUGCAAAUCAAAACCACAGCGAGCUAUCGCUUCAUACCUAUCAGAACGGCUGUCAUCAAAAAGAACACAAAUACUUCAAUCCUCAACCUCUAAAAUAAAAAAGCUACACGGCUAUAUUGCAUAGCACAGGAAAUACGGACAAUAUUUUGUAGCAAAGAAUUCACAUGAAUCUGACCUACAAAUAAGGUCAUUGUCCUUGUGAUGCUUUUCAAUAUGCCCAGUAACAUUAUUAGUAACACUAAUAGAACUAAAAUUGUGGGAGAGUCUUUAGAACCUACUAAGAUAGCAUUAAACUAGGUCUCAUAGGCCCCCUAUGUUCUCCUUGCAGAAACUAAACCUCUGCCAUUUACUUACUAGCUAACUUGCCAUCUAAAGCUUCUGAUAUCUGAAACAAGGAAUCUUUUUUUUUUUUUUCUGUCCUUCUUAUGUGUAUGUAUCAUAAAUUCCUAAGGACCUUAGGCCUAGGAUGAAUUUAAACUAGCAAAGAAAUCUUUUCUUCAUCAAAAAUCCUUUCAACUAUUUAUUUUCUUCCCAAGUAGACUGAUUUCUUAAUACUUCAUAAGCUUGGUCUUGCAUGCUGAACACAUCCUAGGCUUUUUUCCCUCCAGAUAUAGUUUGUCUGUAAUUUAAGUAGUAUACCACGAAGAAUGAUUUUUGAGCAUUAGCAAAACAGAGGAGCCUCCUAGAGCCCUAAUUACCAGAAUCAAAACAUGGGAUUACAAUCUCAAUUUUAUUUUUCUCUAAAAUUUGAAGAACAU